UAUCUGCCUGGUGCACCUGUCAUCUCUACAAGGCCCUGGACUAGUUUGCUGUAGCCUCUGGAAAGAGAAGAGUUGGCUACCGACUCCUUGCCAUUGACGUUUCAUCUCAUUUGUCGGAAUAGCGUGAAGACCUAGAUUUUAAACCUGUUCUGGACUCUCACCCUGACCCACAGAACCUGCAUCAUCUGCUUGGGUAACACCGAACCAGAUUUCACCUGAUCCUUCUGAACUGAGGGAGGGGAAUAUCACAAAAGCACCAGAAGAACACUAGCCUCCCAGAGGCCUGAUGGGAUUUCCUGUACCAGAACGACUUGGACAGAGAAAGAGCCUCAUUGUUCAGAGCCCAGCAGUUGGCGGUGAAGGGCCAGGAUCCUGGAUCAUUGUUAACGUUUUCGACCCCAAGGAAAAUGACCGUCAUGCCUCCUCAUCUUACUGCUGCCAAGUUCGAGUCCAGCGGAGGGCCUGAUGCUACGGAGACACAUCGGUGGAUCCCAGCUUUUAUGACCCAGACCAUUCUCCAAGAAGCAGUGUACCAAACUCUGGUUUCAUGGAAGCUCUCCUGACCCUCUACUCAGGAAUUCCCCAAUGGACUGUGACAGGGCUGUCCAUCACCCACAAGUCCUCCUAGCAGUGGAGAUGUAAGAGUUAUUGCCGUUAACCAAUAUCCGGAGGCAGACGAUCCUCCCUGGGACAUAGCGUCAGAAGGUCACCCAACGCUACGACACAAUGCCUACAUCACUUCCUUUCGUUGAGUAGACAUUUAAUCAGCUCGCAUCAUCACAAG